GGCGUCCACAGAGGGGGGCAAGAGGGGUCAGUGCCCCCCCCUGGGACCAGCAGACUGACCAUCUGUUUAUUCGGGCAUUUUGUAAUGUGGGCCGCUCCUGAUCUAUAAUGUUCAUUUCAAACUGUGGGCUCUAGGACCGCUCCUCCGUCCCAGCUCCCACUGUGGCUCCGCCCCUUCCACUCGUCUCCGUUCUCAUGCUGUGCUGUGUGCAGGCCUGCUGCCUGCCUGCCAUCAGGGGGAACAAGGAAGAAAGUUUUGGGCCAGGCAGGAUUUAGGCUCAAAGGGGGAUUAGCCAGCCCCCCUUACGAGCGUGGACAUCACUGAUGCCGAAGACGGAAGUACAGGAACUGAUGUGUGAAAAGCAAAAGAUGCCCACUACAUCUAUGGACAUAAAUAGGCCUUUAUAUCUCUUCAGCCAGUCUUGAUGUGGAGCACCUUGGCUUUCUGGGAUAUCACCUUGUUGAACGCAGUUCUUCAUUUUUCUGAGGCCCAUUAUCGACAAUGUCCAUUCCUCUAGCAGCCUGAAGAAAAGAAGCCAAAUCAAUUUCUGUAAAAAGCUGCUCAACUCUUCUGUGAUAACUUGUUUUCCAAAUAAAAAUCAAACAGGCUGCUGUGCAUAACCACUACAAAGGAACUAAUUCAAGAGGCCAAUGAAGGACAUGCAAUCAGAAAUGGAUACCUGUGCAGUAGGGUUAAGUAAACCCCCAUGUUAGUUAGUGUUUGAAGGCAAGACAAGGCCAUCAGCAACUUCAUCAUAGCACUGGGAAAUGUAACUGGUUAUCCAAGAACCAUCUGCAGGGCAAUUGUGAGUGACUGCCCUACAUGUUGUAAAUGACCCCUAAAGUAUCUUGCAGUAGAAACACCUGCGUGUUCUAAUUUUUGGAAUAAGAAGAAAAAAAUCUGCUGCAAAGUCUUCCAUUCAUUUUGAUAACUGUAUUGUUUAUACUGUGGCAAUGACCUUUAUCCUUGAUAAAUCAUUAAAAAAAAAGUAAGAGAAACUAAAACUCCAGCUCCCCUUAACUUCUUAUAUUCCAACAGUACAGAGUAGGUACAGAAAGGACCUAUAACCAAGUAUCACCUGGUGGAUGAACACAGGAACUAUGUUCAAAUUCACUUACUCCAAUUUCGCAGGAGAAGCAAUAUUAGGGGGGAUCGUUUUUCAACACAGUAAAUGGGAAUAUUUGCAAUAAUGACACAAAUGCAUUAUUGUCACCCAUAGUUUUGAGAAUAAGUAGUGAUUCCUUUCAUAUGUAAUGGGAAGUAUUUUGUGGCAAUUUCCAUGCUUUUCCAUGCUAAUCAGCACAUCUUGUACUCAAUAAAACUCAUAAUGUAGUAAAAUUG